rnacentral:rRNA from 1 species
CCUACGGGGUGCAGCAGUAGGGAAUAUUGCUCAAUGGGGGAAACCCUGAAGCAGCAACGCCGCGUGGAGGAUGAAGGUUUUAGGAUUGUAAACUCCUUUUGUGAGAGAAGAUAAUGACGGUAUCUCACGAAUAAGCACCUGCUAACCCCGUGCCAGCAGCCGCGGUAAUACGUAGGGUGCAAACGUUACUCGGAAUCACUGGGCGUAAAGAGUGCGCAGGCGGGCUUGUAAGUAAGGUGUGAAAUUCUGUAGCUUAAAUACAGAACUGCAUUUGAAACUAGGAGUCUAGAGUAUGGGAGAGGUAGGUGGAAUUCUUGGUGUAGGGGUAAAAUCCGUAGAUAUCAAGAGGAAUACUCAGUGCGAAGGCGACCUACUGGAACAUUACUGACGCUCAGGCACGAAAGCGUGGGGAGCAAACAGGAUUAGAUACCCUUGUAGUC